CAGUCGCCGCGGGAAUACGUAGGUGGCAAGCGUUGUCCGGAAUUAUUGGGCGUAAAGGGCUCGCAGGCGGUUUCUUAAGUCUGAUGUGAAAGCCCCCGGCUCAACCGGGGAGGGUCAUUGGAAACUGGGAAACUUGAGUGCAGAAGAGGAGAGUGGAAUUCCACGUGUAGCGGUGAAAUGCGUAGAGAUCGGAAAGAACACCAAUGGCGAAAGCACCCUGCUGGGCCGACACUGACACUGAGAGACGAAAGCUAGGGGAGCAAAUGGGAUUAGAGACCCCAGUAGUCCCUGUCUCUUAUAA
rnacentral:rRNA from 1 species